rnacentral:rRNA from 1 species
GUGGGGAAUUUUGGACAAUGGGCGCAAGCCUGAUCCAGCAAUGCCGCGUGCAGGAUGAAGGCCUUCGGGUUGUAAACUGCUUUUGUACGGAACGAAAAGCCCUGGGUUAAUACCCUGGGGUCAUGACGGUACCGUAAGAAUAAGCACCGGCUAACUACGUGCCAGCAGCCGCGGUAAUACGUAGGGUGCGAGCGUUAAUCGGAAUUACUGGGCGUAAAGCGUGCGCAGGCGGUUUUGUAAGACAGAGGUGAAAUCCCCGGGCUCAACCUGGGAACUGCCUUUGUGACUGCAAGGCUAGAGUACGGCAGAGGGGGAUGGAAUUCCGCGUGUAGCAGUGAAAUGCGUAGAUAUGCGGAGGAACACCGAUGGCGAAGGCAAUCCCCUGGGCCUGUACUGACGCUCAUGCACGAAAGCGUGGGGAGCAAACAGGAUUAGAAACCCCUGUAGUCC